rnacentral:sRNA from 1 species
GCAGCCGCAAAAUCGGCUGCCGGGUGUGAGAACCCGGUAAUUACACUAGCGCACAACCGCGCUAACGCGGUUUUUUU